AGGUGUUUGUGCCUGUGGCAGGGUCUUGGUCUUUUGUUCCCCUCCUGCGUCCUCUGCACCUCAAGACGACCGGCAUGCACACAGCGCCUCCCAGCACUCCUCCAUGUUCUCCUCCAUCUGCCUCCUGUCCAUUGAUCAGCCUUCCAGGGCAUCAGUCUGUUUAACAUCUGCUACAAGUUCCAGCAGCUCAGAUGCGCAGAGGCUGUAAUGAAGAGCUCUUGAACUCGCAGUCAGAGAAGCUGUGACAGGAGUUCAGGAGGAUGCCUCUUUGGCUCUGCUGGACGUACGACACACACUCACAAACACCGGCACACACACAUGCACCCAGAGACAGCAAGAGACAGCAACAAACAUCUAAUACAGAAGUCAAAAUGAAGCUGUCACUCAUACGCUGUUUCACAAAUCACUAGCUUUUCAUUUAAAGUGUCCAAUGUCCAAUCUUCCUUCUGAUAUUGGAAAAAUAUGAAAAAUAUACCUCUGCGCUUCUAUUCUUUUAUUUUCUAUUUUCCUCAAUAUUAUUUAUUUUUUUGGGGCACCGCUUUGACAUGAACUUAGAGGUUACAAACUUAAUAUGAUCACGGAGGUAUAACACGAGUUUGUGAGCUAUGAAAGCAGCCGCAGCUUUAUUAUCAAGCCUGUGAUACUGCAGCACAUCUUUAGGCAGGUACAUUUUUAUUUGGAGUUUUUGCCUCCAGGCUCUGAAUUGAAAUGGAAGACCAAAUGGCACAAAUGGCAAGUGCACCAUUCCUAGCUCUGUGCUGCCUCCCAACACAAACUGGUCAAGCAGAAAUGAGACCUGCAUCAAUUUUAAUUUGUAUUUAUCCUGCUGAUGACCCGCUCCUUUCACUCUGCCGUUGGAGGCACAAAUUACACCCAUCAUAACUCUGAUUCUAACGGCCCACGGUGUGCUAUCAGAAAAUGAGCAUGGUUAUAUACCACCGGCGGGUUCAAGGUGUCACAACACAAUUAUACAAUCAUGCAACCUGACGAGCUCUGACUGGUCGCCGUUGUAUGACAACUAAGCUGGAGGGCCACGCUGUCUGUCACAUCCAGGCGGGUAAGAUAAGUUCACUGGAGAGUAGACUGUCUGCUUCUCUCUAUCUAAAUCAGUUAAAUAUCACACAGCUGCUGCAGUCUGGGGUGAUUUUUUUUUGGGAAGUAUAAAGACUCGCAUCUGAACUUAUCUUUGACGUGUCAGGUUUUUAUUUGGCACAGCAAAUUGAACCUGUAGAAUUUGUUAGAAAAAAAAGAAAAAACAUAAAUCAAAGUGAUAUAACAUUGGCUGCCUGUGUAUCAUUAAUAGAAUUAAGCCAUCAAUGAGGAAAGUUUAAAACCUUACACAUACUGCAGUGCUGUGCAGCAGCUCACAGUGACUUUCAAUCAACCCUAAUCCUUGUAUCUCAUAAAACGUAGACCAAAAAAAUGAAGGGAAGCUCCCCUGCCUGGAUCCCCAGUGUGCACUCUGUGUCAAGCCAUUAGGCUGUGUGAAAUGAGGUGCCACUCAUGAGUUAUAAUGCUGCACAUCUAUAGAUGCAAUGGUAAAAUAUAGCCCUUCAAUGCUCAGUCCUCUGUUGGAGUUGGGAAAAUAAUUCUGCUCUGAUAGCAGUCCAUCCCCCCAAUAUCCCAAUUCA